UGCGUAGGCGGGUCUUUAAGUCAGGGGUGAAAUCCUGGAGCUCAACUCCAGAACUGCCUUUGAUACUGAAGAUCCUGAGUUCGGGAGAGGUGAGUGGAACUGCGAGUGUAGAGGUGAAAUUCGUAGAUAUUCGCAAGAACACCAGUGGCGAAGGCGGCUCACUGGCCCGAUACUGACGCUGAGCACGAAAGCGUGGGGAGCAAACA
rnacentral:rRNA from 1 species